UACUAAGGACUCUGGAGAGUACAGAAGAACGAUAAACAGACACCCCGUUACGGCCUGCCGCGCAGCAGUUGCUUGGACGUCCUCUUAUUCUAUCCAUUCUCCUCAUAUAUUCCACCCAAAGAGACUGUGCUGGAUGAUCAUUGCGUCAAUAUUGGUGACCCGCCUGUACUCUGCGAUUGUGACGCGGGAGACCGUCUCGCUUUCUGAUCGUACGUAUAGCCGUACGUGGCACUUAUCAAACUGCUAAAGGGGCAAAAUCCCAUCUCCGGAAAGUUUGCGAUCUCCCUUUCGGCAGAGUCGCCUUCAAACCGAAGGGCAGGUGUCACACGAAGCCCGACGCUUCCACGUUACGACAGCUUUGCAGACCUUUUCAUUUAAAAGGAAGCCGACGACUGGUCAGAGCGAUCAAAUCCUUAAAGGUCACGAUAGACGUCUUGAUUCAAUUUUCUAAGGCUUUACCAAUCCACACCUCAUUGCGCGGCGAAAACUACAGGAUCAUUUGAAGAUAUAAGUUAUCUGGCGUCUGAGAGAGACGCACUGGUGCUAGAAUCAGUUUCCUUGUUUUCCUGCACAGAUCACGGCUGUCAUGCUGGAUUUUGGUCUGAAUGAUAUCCGAGGAUUGGAUCAUCUUCAGGGUAAUCCUCGAUAACCGGUCCAGACAGCGGUUUGCCGGAAAUGGAGAGCAGCGAAGUACCCUGGUGAUUUUUACAGUCCGCUCUUACGUUCUUUCUGGAAGAUAAUGAUUACGGAGUGGCAACUCUGAAGUCGUUAAAGCCUUGUCGCACACUGGAGGGGUCCCGGAGGAAAGGACGAGGAGGAGAAGGGAAGGAAGAGGAGGAAGAGAAGGGAAUUAGAAGGAAGAGGGCCAAAAGGGUUGGAUCAGCUUUGAACACUGAAACCUUUUGAUGCUUGUCUUAAGUGAGUUGGCCCUCACCUUUGGAGAUUUGCUCGUCACUCUUCAUCGAGAGGUUGCUUGUUUCCCAAUGCCCCGGGAAAGACAGCUUGCAGCAGUGUCACCUUAAAGGUUAACGUGGUAAAGUGAGAGGGAAAAUAAGCCCAGAAAGAUGGUUGCACUGGCUCAGUUAAAUGGGACCAAGAAUUACAUCAUCUUAAUUGAUAACAGCUGGAUGGCACUCAUCCUUGAUGAGAAAAAUCUUGAUACAUGCUAUAUGUUUGUAGAGUAUCCAGAAAAAUAAAUUCCACAAUUUGGCAAUUUCA